CCUAUAGCUCAGUUGGAUAGAGCGUUGGACUUCGAAUCCAAGCGUCGCAAGUUCGAAUCUUGUUAGGU
rnacentral:tRNA from 1 species